GGGGGUGGGAGUCUGCGAGAGCGAAAGCUUUAUUGAUUGAGAGCUUUUUGUCCUUGCUGGCGAGCAAGAGAGCGCGAAAAAUACUGGUAUUUUCUGAGGGAAAGAAAAGCUCAGCCUUGCCAGUGCUUUGGACACAAUUUUCGUACAACAAUUUUCACUUUUCUCAGUCAUUCUCACGUCUGUGUUUUAGGGCGGUUCCGCCACAGGCAGCAGCAGCAGCAGCAGGCAUCAGGCAUCAGCCAUCAGCCAUCAGGACUCGCACUGGCACUCGCAGUCGCAGUCGCAGCCCCACUUCGAGGAGGAGACUCCACCGCACAACAGUUGAACGCGUAUGAAAAUUCCACCUUCGAUAAGUGAAAGCCAUUAAUUGAGAAAUGGCGUAAAUGGUGUUCGUACUGCCAGUUCCCAUUCAAAUACCGCCUGAAACUGUAUGCCCAUGUUAGUGCCUUCUUCGGUCUGAGCGGGAAACCAACCACAAACU